rnacentral:ncRNA from 1 species
UUAAAUUUUAUUUUGGUUUAGAUGAUAAGUUUAUAGUUUCUUUACAUGUAAAUUUAAGUGGUUUUUUAAUUGAUUUUAUAAAAAUUAAUUAUAUUAAUUAUUCGCAGUAUUUUAUAUUAAAAAUUAAGGAAACUUAGAUUUAGAAAUUUAUAAUAAUAUUAACUAAAUUUGUGCCAGCAGUUGCGGUUAUACAAAUAAUGUAAUUUAUCAUUUUUAGUUUGUAAUUAGUUGAAUAAAAUUUAGUAAAAAUUGUUAAUUAUUAAGUGAAAUUUUAAUUAUUAAUUAAUCUAUAAUUUAAAUUUUGAAGUUACUAAAUUUUAUUUAAAACUAGGAUUAGAUACCCUAUUAUAAAAAUGUAAAUUAUAAAAACUAAAUUAUUAAUAGUUAUAGUCUUUAAAGUUAAAAAAUUUGGCGGUAUUUUAUUCUAUUCAGAGGAAUCUGUUCUGUAAUUGAUAUUCCACGAGUAUAAUUACUUACUUUAUUAAUUUGUAUAUCGUCGUAGUUGAAUAUUUUAUGAGAAUUUAAAUAUUCAUAAUUUUAAUUUAAAAAUAAAUCAGAUCAAGGUGCAGUUUAUAGGUAAGAAGAAAUGGAUUACAAUAAAUUUAUUUUUGGAUUAGUUUUUUUAAAGAAUUAUUAAAUUGGAUUUGAAUGUAAUUUAAUUUAUAUUGGUUAAAUGAUUAAAGUUCUAAAAUAUGUACAUAUCGCCCGUCGCUCUCAUUUAAAUUGAGAUAAGUCGUAACAGAGUAAAUGUACUGGAAAGUGUAUUUAGCUUGUCA